AUGGGCAUGAGCUGCUGCGAGGAGAGGGAGAGGCCCAGGAAGAGCUGUGCGCCGGUCCACGCCAACGCCGGCUUCGCCGCCGGCGUCCUCUUUGCGCUCCUCGUCUACUUCCUCGUCCGGCAGCAGACUUCGAUCAGUGCUGCCACCACGGCGGCACUAGCACAAUGGAGCACGGUUAAACAACUGAUUAGAGCUCCUGGUGAAACGCAACUGAUUAAAGCUCCUGGUGAAAUACUUGUUACGUCUGAUGUGCACCGGGUCGCCGACAAACAACCGAUUCAAGAUACGGAUAAUGGCAAGGUGGUGUGUACCACGGAGGACCACUCCCGCGGUUUGUCUGGCACCUGUGAAGUCGAAGGCGACGUCCGCACCAAUGGCACAGCCCUAUCGGUGAGCCUCGUUCCAGUGAGCUGGUCGGAGCGCCACGAGUGGAUGAUCUCACCGUACACGCGCAUUGGCCAGAGCCUCAGGGCGGUCACUGUGAUGCAGCUGCAGGAUCGGGCUGCCGCCCCGUCGUGCACGCUGACCCACACGAUGCCUGCCAUCAUGUUCGGGAUCGGGGGGUACGUGGGCAACUACUGGCAUGAGUACGCUGACAUUCUGGUGCCGCUGUUCGUCGCAGCGCGGCGGUACCACGGCGAGGUGACGUUCCUGGUCAGCAACAUCCAACACAUGCCGCGGUGGCUGGUCAAGUACAGGGCCUUGUUGCAGGGGUUGUCCAAGUACGGCGUCGUGGACAUGGACCGCGAUGCGUAUGUGCGGUGUUUCCCGCGCGUCUCGGUUGGACUCCGCCUCGAUAAGGACCUCAGCAUCGUUCCCGAACUGGUGCCGGGGGGGCGCCUCACCAUGGCCGACUUCACGCGCUUCGUGCGCGAGACCUACGCGCUCCCACGCGGAGCAGUGACCAUGGAGCCGUACAAGAAGCCGCGGCUACUGCUGAUCCAGCGGGUGACCUCCCGCCAGUUCCUCAACGAGCCGGAGAUUGCACGAGCGGCCGAGGCGGCGGGGUUUGAGGUGGCAGUGACGGAUCUGCGGCACAACGGCUCCGAGGUUGAGCAGGCGCGGGUGGUGAACUCGUUUGAUGUGGUGCUGGGCGUGCACGGCGCCGGGCUGACGAACGCGGUGCACCUGCCGCCGGGCGGCGUCCUGAUCCAGGUGGUGCCGUAUGGCAAGAUAGAGCCCAUGGCGAGGUUGGAUUUCAGCGAGCCGGCAACAGACAUGGGGCUCAAGUACCUUGACUACAGCGUGAGCGCGGAGGAGAGCUCGCUGCUGGAGAAGCUAGGGCCGGAGCACCCGGCAAUCAAGGACCCCGACUCCAUCCAUCGAAGCGGCUGGACCACAGUGUAUGAGUCCUACCUAAUGCAGAGCGUACGCAUCAACACCACUCGCUUCGCGCCAACGUUGGAGCAAGCGUUCAACCACCUACGCAAGCACUAG
rnacentral:rRNA from 1 species